GAUGAACGCUGGCGGCGUGCCUAAUACAUGCAAGUCGAGCGAACAGACGAGGAGCUUGCUCCUCUGACGUUAGCGGCGGACGGGUGAGUAACACGUGGAUAACCUACCUAUAAGACUAGGAUAACUUCGGGAAACCGGAGCUAAUACCGGAUAAUAUAUUGAACCGCAUGGUUCAAUAGUGAAAGACGGUUUUGCUGUCACUUAUAGAUGGAUCCGCGCCGCAUUAGCUAGUUGGUAAGGUAACGGCUUACCAAGGCAACGAUGCGUAGCCGACCUGAGAGGGUGAUCGGCCACACUGGAACUGAGACACGGUCCAGACUCCUACGGGAGGCAGCAGUAGGGAAUCUUCCGCAAUGGGCGAAAGCCUGACGGAGCAACGCCGCGUGAGUGAUGAAGGUCUUCGGAUCGUAAAACUCUGUUAUUAGGGAAGAACAAAUGUGUAAGUAACUAUGCACGUCUUGGCGGUACCUAAUCAGAAAGCCACGGCUAACUACGUG
rnacentral:rRNA from 1 species